rnacentral:rRNA from 1 species
GAGUUUUGGUUCAUUAGUGUUCAGAAUGAAUGUAUGAGCGAAAAGCAUAAACUACAAACAAAACCAACACGAUUACCCGAAUUCGCUAGACAUCUUCGGAGAAGAGUAGAGAACCGGGUGAGUGGCUCGUGAGUAAUCACCCCUCGAGUGAGGAAUAAUUACCGCGAAAGCGGGACUAAUGCCGCAUAAUACUCUGGGGCAUAAGCCAUUAGAGUCAAAGCUUUCCGAGCAAUCGGAUGGCGACUUGAGGACGAGCUCGCGGCCUAUUAGCUAGUUGGUGGGGUAAUGGCCUACCAAGGUUAUGAUGGGUAGCCGGCUUGAGAAGGGUGUAUGGCCACAACUGGGACUGAGACACGGCCCAGACUCCUCCGGGAGGCAGC